GAGUUUGAUCCUGGCUCAGGAUGAACGCUAGCGGCAGGCUUAACACAUGCAAGUCGAGGGGUAACAGAGAAAAGCUUGCUUUUUUGCUGACGACCGGCGCACGGGUGCGUAACGCGUAUGCAAUCUACCUUUUGCUAAGGGAUAGCCCAGAGAAAUUUGGAUUAAUACCUUAUAGUAUGGUGACUUGGCAUCAAGAUAUCAUUAAAGGUUACGGCAAAAGAUGAGCAUGCGUUCUAUUAGCUAGUUGGUGUGGUAACGGCAUACCAAGGCAACGAUAGAUAGGGGUCCUGAGAGGGAGAUCCCCCACACUGGUACUGAGACACGGACCAGACUCCUACGGGAGGCAGCAGUGAGGAAUAUUGGACAAUGGAGGCAACUCUGAUCCAGCCAUGCCGCGUGCAGGAAGACUGCCCUAUGGGUUGUAAACUGCUUUUAUACAGGAAGAAACACCUCUACGUGUAGAGAUUUGACGGUACUGUAAGAAUAAGGAUCGGCUAACUCCGUGCCAGCAGCCGCGGUAAUACGGAGGAUCCAAGCGUUAUCCGGAAUCAUUGGGUUUAAAGGGUCCGUAGGUGGAUAAUUAAGUCAGAGGUGAAAUCCUGCAGCUUAACUGUAGAAUUGCCUUUGAUACUGGUUGUCUUGAGUUGUUAUGAAGUGGUUAGAAUAUGUAGUGUAGCGGUGAAAUGCAUAGAUAUUACAUAGAAUACCAAUUGCGAAGGCAGAUCACUAAUAAUAUACUGACACUGAUGGACGAAAGCGUGGGGAGCGAACAGGAUUAGAUACCCUGGUAGUCCACGCCGUAAACGAUGGUCACUAGCUGUUCGGGUUUCGAUCUGAGUGGCUAAGCGAAAGUGAUAAGUGACCCACCUGGGGAGUACGUUCGCAAGAAUGAAACUCAAAGGAAUUGACGGGGGCCCGCACAAGCGGUGGAGCAUGUGGUUUAAUUCGGUGAUACGCGAGGAACCUUACCAGGGCUUAAAUGUGGUUUGACAGCUUUAGAGAUAGAGUUUUCUUCGGACAAAUCACAAGGUGCUGCAUGGUUGUCGUCAGCUCGUGCCGUGAGGUGUCAGGUUAAGUCCUAUAACGAGCGCAAC
rnacentral:rRNA from 1 species